rnacentral:misc_RNA from 1 species
UGUAUGAUCCUCGAAGAAAGACUGUUGUCUUCUAGCUUGCAAGUUCAGAAUGACUGCGCAGCUUGUCAGCAGCAAGGCUGUAUUCUCGAAGGACCAAAACGACUGUAUGUAUCCUCGAAGUAAGACUGUUGUCUUCUAGCUUGCAGGUUCAGAAUGACUGCGCAGCUUGUCAGCAGCAAGGCUGUAUUCUCGAAGGACCAAAAAACUGUAUGGAACAGUCUAUGGUUGAGUGAGUGAUGACCUGUGAGGGAAGGUUAUGAGGGAAACCAAACCCAAUGAAAGUCGAUCAAACACUAAAUUUAUUAAGAUUAUUUUGAGUAUAUAUAGGCAGAAGUACAGACGUCAUUUGACGUCAUUCGUAGCAAAC